rnacentral:siRNA from 1 species
GUAGUACUAGGAUGGGUGACUCC